GGCUUGGUAAGACGGGUGCCAGCCGCCGCGGUAAUACCUGCAGCUCGAGUGGUGGCCGCUAUUAUUGGGCCUAAAACGUCCGUAGCCGGUUUAAUAAAUGCCUGGGUAAAUCGUGUAGCUCAACUAUACGAAUUCCAGGUAGACUGUUAAACUUGGGACCGGGAGAAGCUAGAGGUACUCCUGGGGUAGAGGUGAAAUUCUGUAAUCCUAGGGGGACCACCAGUGGCGAAGGCGUCUAGCUAGAACGGGUCUGACGGCGAGGGACGAAGCCCUGGGGCGCAAACCGGAUUAGAUACCCGGGUAGUCCAGGGUGUAAACGCUGCUUGCUUGAUGUUAGUCGGGCUCCGAGCCCGAUUAGUGUCGGAGAGAAGUUGUUAAGCAAGCUGCCUGGGAAGUACGGCCGCAAGACUGAAACUUAAAGGAAUUGGCGGGGGAGCACAGCAACGGGUGGAGCGUGCGGUUUAAUUGGAUUCAACGCCGGAAAACUCACCGGAGGCGACGGUUAUAUGAAGGCCAGGCUGAUGACCUUGCUUGAUU
rnacentral:rRNA from 1 species